AUGGAGUUGCAUAAAUACUUUACAUCUCUCUUCACGAUCGCUCCUGCUGAGGAUGCUGGGAAUGCGGACAGCCCUUCAGAAUCCUGUUUAAGCAUCGUAGAGUUAGAUGAGAGGGAUGAAGACGCUACAAUGUACAGAUCCUUUGGAGUCAAGCAGGGAAAUGAGAGCAAAAUGUUUGCAGCUGUUGGAAAUGGAGGAGAUUUUGGAUAUUCGGUUUUGCCUUUCACACCGUGCUUCUCCGAGAUGACCAAAGGAUCCAUCGGUGAAUGUGAUUCUGACAUAAAGAUCAACUCUUCUUCUGAGAUGUGGCCGCUGUCUCAAGAGGCUGAACAAUCUUCGUCAUCAUUGCCAAGAUCAGAAAGCUUUUCUCCACUUCAGACGAGGCUUCAGAGAUCACAGCACCUGUAGACUGCCUCAUAAUCCUUUCUGUCAAAUUCACGAACAGGAGGCCAGAAAGUGGAACUCAGUGACUCUCCAAAACCAAGAUCUUCUGCAGCACAACAGGAGAAAUCCUCAGAGCUUCUGCCAACAUCAUCCCCUUCACUCCCAAAAAUCAAAUUAAAUCAAACUCUCCCAGGCUUUGAGGACCAUAUUUCCACUGUCAGCCUCUCUCCUGGUGAAAUACCAUCUGUUAGGCCUUCUCAAUGUCAUUUUCCUGCUUUUCUCAUCUCUAAACAAAGUCCAAAACCUCCAGAUUCUCUGUCCCCAAGGUCUUGAUCAGUUUCUUCUCUAGUAAACCCAGUCCAAUCCAGACCUGCUCAUUCAACACCUGUUUCUGAACUGUCUCCAGAACGUGCCAUCACUUCCCCAAGUGCUGCAGUUCCUUCAUUAAAGCUGUCACUUAGAGAAUCAUCACAGUCUGGAUUAGUCUCAUAUAGAAGUAUAUCUACUAUGCCUGUCUAUGACUCCUUCAGUUCUUCUAUGCUGAGGGAUGAAUCUUCUCACCCGGCCUCCGAAUGGUUUAAGGGCUCACGGAGGUCACCCAAAACCAAAGUGUGCUCCUUACAGCUAAACAUGUCAGGUUAGUAUGAUUUCUGUUGGUAAAUUUGAAUUGAAGCUGUCUGAACAUUAAAAAUGUUAGUUAGUUGCAGGGGCGUGUCUAGAGCAUUUUAAAUGGGGUGGCCAGUCUGGGGCACUGGCUGAAAAGAGGGUGGCCGGGGGGGUGGGGUUAUGGUUUGCGGCACGAUGUAUGUUAAAAUACAUCGUGUAUACACUCACUAAACAAAGAGUGGCAGCUUUUUUAGUGGUAAUGAACACUCUUUGCAAGCUUUCUAGUCUAUGAUCCAUUUAAAAUGUAGAACUUUGUUUUUCAGCCACACACGUUGCAAAGUUUCGGGAAUGACAUCUGCAUAUUUAUGUGGGAUUCACUCUCGAAGUAGCAGUGAUUGACACAAUGAUGACCAAAGCAAUAGACGGGAGAAAAUAUGUGAAAAUGGGCAUUAAGACUAUAACUUUAAUUAACUAUAUUUAAUUUAUAGAUAUACAGAUGUAAACUGCUGUUUCUGUCAAUGCUCCAGUAGAAAAAUACCACAAACCAUACCAAUAAUAAAACCUCAGCAGUGCCACAGGCUGAUUGCCUCCAUGCCACGCCGCAUUGAAGCAGUCAUUUCUGCAAAAGGAUUCCCGACCAAGUAUUGAGUGCAUAACUGAACAUAAUUAUUUGAAGGUUGACUUUUUUUGUAUUAAAAACACUUUUCUUUUAUUGGUCGGAUGAAAUAUGCUAAUUUUUUGAGAUAGGAAUUUUGGGUUUUCAUGAGCUGUAUGCCAAAAUCAUCAGUAUUAAAACAAUAAAAGACCUGAAAUAUUUCAGUUGGUGUGCAAUGAAUCUAAAAUAUAUGAAAGUUUAAUUUUUAUCAUUACAUUAUGGAAAAUAAUGAACUUUUUCACAAUAUGCUAAUUUUUUGAGAAGGACCUGUAUGUGAAAAAUGUGAGAAAGGUCCAUUGAGUGGAGAGAAGGGAGCAGGAUCAGGGGCGUGUCUAGAGCAUUUUAAAUGGGCUGGCCAGUCUGGGGCACUGGCUGAAAAGAGGGUUUCUAGUCUAUGAUCCAUUUAAAAUGUAGAACUUUGUUUUUCAGCCACACACGUUGCAAAGUUUCGGGAAUGACAUCUGCAUAUUUAUGUGGGAUUCACUCUCGAAGUAGCAGUGAUUGACACAAUGAUGACCAAAGCAAUAGACGGGAGAAAAUAUGUGAAAAUGGGCAUUAAGACUAUAACUUUAAUUAACUAUAUUUAAUUUAUAGAUCUAAUACAGAUGUAAACUGCUGUUUCUGUCAAUGCUCCAGUGAAAAAUACCACAAACCAUACCAUAAAUAAAUCCAUGUAAGAUUUUAUAUGGUCACAUUAUGUAAUUAUAUAUAUAAAUGUUUAAUGUUUUUAAACAUUUAUAUAUUACAUCAUUUUAAUACCUAAAUGUUUCAGAAGACUAUAUAGGGUACAUGUGAUAUUUAAAUCAGAAAUCAAAGGAUUGCUUUGUUGCGUUUAUAUGUAUAUUAAAAAAAAGUUAUGUCGAUUUCCUGAACCUGUUCUGCACAUUGUAAAGACGUCCAAGAAAAUCCUUAGCCUGACGGUCAAAUUUUGGAACCUCAUAUCGACGUCCAAGGGACGUCGUAGUUUGACGUCCAGAUAUGAACCGGAUUUGCACGUCGAGUAGACGUCCAGAUAUGGUCCAGACCGACCGACGCAAUUUAGACUUGAUCUGCACGUCGUAUAGACGUCUCAUGUUUGUUGGGUAGAGCACCCUCGCUAAUUUUAGAAGCACCCUCAGUGAUUAUUUCUGGAACCUGGUUAAUACGCUUUUAUUGCAAAAACUAUAUACAAAAACAACAAAAUACAAAUGCACUUAAUAAAACAAUUGAAUAAAUGCAUAUUUAUAAGUUAAGCACUUAACUAAAAUAAGUAGGCUAUUAAUAAAUAAAUAACUAGUGAAGGCUGACUAUAAUCAGCUUGCUUCCAUUUAAUGAGAUAAGCCUACUCCUCAUCUGAAUUGAAAAAAAAGCGCUUCUACGCUUCAGUGAUGCAAGAACGUUUGAGCAUACACGUAAUCUCUGAGCAAAAGCAGAGCCAAUUCAUAAAAGAACAAUGUAUAUUUAAAAGCACACAUCCAGUUUUGUGUGAGUGAAGGAAAUCCACUUGCGAGUGGAGAUUCGUGCUCGCGCAUUACAUGGAUCACGUAACAUUAUGCGCUCUCGAUAUCUGUCAAAUAUCACGCUAUAGAAACAGCCUAAAAUUAAGUAUAAUGAGGAGAAGAAAGCGGUCCUAGGCAGCUACACAUAUGCCAGGAUCUGGUGGGGGGGCGACCUGGGGUGGGCCAGCCAAAUUUACUAGGGGGGGCCGGGGUGCCACCCCUCGGCCACCAGACACGCCUCUGAUACACACACUUGUAUGUGUCAAAAUGCCCGUGUUUGCAAGUAUCCUCAUAAACACAGUAAUUUAGGUCUUAUGUGAAAUCAAACAGCUGAGAAAGAAAACACAUGUGUAACAGUACCUGGCAGCUCU
rnacentral:lncRNA from 1 species